AGUGAACGCUGGCGGUAGGCCUAACACAUGCAAGUCGAACGGCAGCACAGUAAGAGCUUGCUCUUACGGGUGGCGAGUGGCGGACGGGUGAGGAAUACAUCGGAAUCUACUUUUUCGUGGGGGAUAACGUAGGGAAACUUACGCUAAUACCGCAUACGACCUACUGGUGAAAGCAGGGGAUCUUCGGACCUUGCGCGAUUGAAUGAGCCGAUGUCGGAUUAGCUAGUUGGCGGUGUAAAGGCCCACCAAUGCGACGAUCCGUAGCUGGUCUGAGCGGAUGAUCAGCCACACUGGAACUGAGACACGGUCCAGACUCCUACGGGAGGCAGCAGUGGGGAAUAUUGGACAAGGGGCGCAAGCCUGAUCCAGCCAUACCGCGUGGGUGAAGAAGGCCUUCGGGUUGUAAAGCCCUUUUGUUGGGAAAGAAAAGCAGCAGGUUAAUACCCCGCUGUUCUGACGGUACCCAAAGAAUAAGCACCGGCUAACUUCGUG
rnacentral:rRNA from 1 species